GACGAACGCUGGCGGCGUGCUUAACACAUGCAAGUCGAACGAAGUGGCGAACGGGUGAGUAAAGAGUAAUCAACCUGCCCUUCAGAGGGUGACAACAGGUGAAAACGACUGCUAAUACCGCAUACUGAAGGUGGGGCUUGAGUCUGAUUAGCUAGUUGGAGGGGUAACGGCCCACCAAGGCGAUGAUCAGUAGCCGGUCUGAGAGGGUGAACGGCCACAUUGGGACUGAGACACGGCCCAGACUCCUACGGGAGGCAGCAGUGGGGAAUCUUCCGCAAUGGACGAAAGUCUGACGGAGCAACGCCGCGUGAGUGAUGACGGCCUUCGGGUUGUAAAGCUCUGUUAAUCGGGACGCGGUACCGGAAUAGAAAGCCACGGCUAACUACGUGCCAGCAGCCGCGGUAAUUC
rnacentral:rRNA from 1 species